rnacentral:rRNA from 1 species
AGACGUCUACAUUAGAUACCCGGGUAGUCCCAGCCGUAAACGAUGCGCGUUAGGUGUAUCGACGACCACGAGUCGUCGAGGUGCCGAAGGGAAACCGUGAAACGUGCCGCCUGGGAAGUACGGUCGCAAGGCUGAAACUUAAAGGAAUUGGCGGGGAGCACCACAACGGGUGGAGCCUGCGGUUUAAUUGGACUCAACGCCGGGAAGCUCACCGGAUAAGACAGCGGAAUGAUUGCCGGGCUGAAGACUCUGCAUGACUAGCUG